rfam:Papio anubis isolate 1X1155 chromosome 9, whole genome shotgun sequence.
AGCAGAGUAGUGAAGUGUACAGCCUCUGGAGAUGUACUCCCCAGGUUCAAAUCCUGGCUCUGCUG